rnacentral:lncRNA from 1 species
UUUGUAUUUUUUUCCCGGAAUCAUUGCAAUCAUUUAUAUCUAUAUCUUCUAUACCUAUACAUUAUUUCCUAUAAAAUUUACCACAUGGCAGUUUUUUCUUCAUCAUUGCUUUCUCUCCCUUUCUCAUUCCCCGAUACUUUGUCUUCCCAUUCAUCUCCGCCCGAUGCUUCGUCUUCUCACUCACUUACUCUUCAAUUAAUGAAUUUAUAUAGCCUAAUGUCAUCUAAACAAAUCGUUUUUAUAAAAAAAAAGUAAAAUAAGAUCUCUUCAUUUUUUUUUUCAUAAUAUUUAUAUUUAUUAAUAUUUCAUGGUAAGUUAAAAAAUUUAAAAAAUUUUACUUUAUCAAUUUUCUCUCUUUUAUAGUACUAGCCGGUCGCAAUGGGAGGUUAACUUCACUAGUGUUUAAUAAUAGGUUGUCACCUCUUCCAUCUCGUCUUGUAUCCUUUAAUUAAAGUAGCUAGUUAUAUGUUAAAAACCUGUAUAUAAUAGGACCUUUCAUAAUGACACAAGCCAAAUUUUGUCCUGUUUAUGCUUCUUAAUUAGAUGUGUAAAACACUCUGCUAGUUAGUAGAGGCAAUUUUCAAAAUUUCAAGCAACCAUACAUACAUAUAUGUAUAUAUAUAUAUAGAGUUGAUUUAGGAUACUUUUACAAGUAUCAUCCUCAUGUUGCUAUCACGUUUUUAGCCAUUGGAUCUACUUUUUGAUUACAAAUAGCCCUUAGGAAGUAGAGAUACAACAGUGAAAGAGACCGAGAGAGAGAGAGAGAGUAGGCUACUAUAUACUUAUGAGUAUUGGACCUUUCGUAUCACUAAGUUAUUUCGAUGAUAGGAUGCUUCCGAAUUUGACGCAUUUACUUGCUAAAUAAUUGAGUCUUAGGUAUUUGAAAUUUCUAAAAAAUAAAUUGUAAUUUUUUGAAAUUUAUAAUAAAGUCCAUAAGCGAGCAUAAAUAUGAACAGUUAAAAUCGAACGAUUGUCCUCAAAAUGAAUGAUCGGAUCUAAUUUAAAUUCGGAGUUAUUGAUCUUUAUUUAGGUAGUGAACUAAAAUUUUUAUCAAAAAUUCAACAUUUUCUUGAUUCUUUUACACCGUUAAAUAUGCAAGUAUCCCAUAACUGACCGUUAAAAUUGUCAGAUUUUGUGCAUGUUUGAUCCUAAGGUAAAUAAUUGUCGAAAAAUUAUUAAAUUUUGAUUCUACAAGUUUAAUCAUGCUCGAGGAUAUGUUUAACGGCUUGGAUCGUUCGUAUUCGGAAGCUCUCAUCGAAAACGACAUAUAAGUACUGGAGAGCGCUUCUACUCAUAAGAGUCUAUAGUAGACGGGGCUCUCUCUCUCUCUCUCAUCUCUUUCUCUCUCUCUUUCUCUAGUAAUGAAUAGAAUUUUCUGAUCAAAAAUUAAUCUUCGAUUUCUUUUUACCGCUUAAAGGGUUAAAUAGCAAAUACUCUUGCAUACCGGCUGUUAAAAAUGUCAAUUUUGUGAAGCUUUAUGAUCGUAAGUGCUAAAUGAUAUCAAAAAAAUUAUUAAAUUUGAUUGUUAGAAGGUUUUAAGUGCUCUAGAUAAUAUUUAACGGUAUGAUCGUCGAUUUGGAAGCUCUAUCAUCGAAAAAAACUUAUGAGUUAUGAAGGCGAUGUACUUCAUAAUAUAUAGUAAGCCGGACCCAAUAUCUAUAUAUAUAAUAUAUUAUAUAUAUAUAUGGAGUACGAUCACUUUCAUUACUCAUAAUGUAUAUGUCGGUACUAUACUAUUAUGAGUACGAUCGCCUAUCAUAACUCAUAAGUUGUUUUCGAUGAUAGAGCUUCCGAAAUCGAUGAUUAACACCGUUUAUAUAUAUUAUUAUUUAUAUAAUAUUAUAUAUAUAUACUAUAUAUAUAUAGUAUAUAUAUAUAUAUAUAUAUAUAUAUAUAUAAUAAUAUAUAUAGCUUGGCGACUGAUCACUAUAAUGAGUACGAUCUGCUCUCUUACUCAUAAGUAUGUUUUCGAUGAUAGAAGCUUCGAAUCGAUAGUUACCACACUGUUAAACGUUAUUUACAGUCAUUUAAAAACUUCUAAAAUCAAAUUAUAUAAUUUUCGACAUCCAUUUUACUUACGAUCAUGAGGUCACAAAUUUUGACAAUUUUUAACAGCCGUAUGAGGUUACUUGCGAUUUUAACGGUAAAAGAAUUCGAUAAUUUGUUGAAUUUUUGAUAGAAAUUCUAUUCAUACAUUUAAUAAGAUUAAUAAACUCCAAUCUUUGAACUUGAAGAAUCCGAUACCUUUUUUAGGAUGCUCAGUAUCGAUUUUGACCGUUCAUUUUAUGCCCUACUUGAUGCGACUUUAUUAUGAAUUUCGAAAAAUUUACGAAAAACUUCUAUUUUCUAGAAGUUUCAAAUACUCAGGACUCAUAUUUAAGGGACAGUAAAUCGUUGAUUCCGAAAGCUCCAUCAUUGAAAAAAUUUAUGGUCGAUAUGGCUUCAAUACUCAUAAUAGCAUAAGUAGCCAUGCUAUAUAUAUUAAAUAUAUAUAAUACUAUAUAUAAUAGAGUGAGGCUAACUAUGCUUCGGACGUACGGAAGCCUUCCGUUACAUUUUCAGGUCGUUUUUCGAUGUUGCGACUUUCGACAUCGUCAAUUGGGCUCGUUAAACAUUCGGAUUUAGAGUAUUCCGAAGUACUAGAAAAAUAAUUUUGCAUUUUCGAUAUAUUUUCUAGGUGAACUAAGGGGCUCAAAAAUCAACGGUACUGAAAUAAAAUCUUACAAAGUGAUAAUUAUGACAUUAAAUUUUGAUCAAAAGAUAUUGAUCUUGUUUUAUAUAUAUAAGAAUUUUUCUAUCAAAUUUCACGUUAUUUGGAUAUUUCUAUACCGUUAAAUUAGCAAAACGGCUCAAUUACAGUCUAUAUAAAAUUAGAUUUUUGAGCCCUUCGAUCACUAGGCAAAUGAUAUGAAAAUUCAUAAAAAAUUUAUUUUUCUAAGUACUUAAAUACUCUAGAUCAAGUAUUAACGCGAAAGCCGAUUCGACAAUUCAAAGUCGCCAAUAUCGAAAAUGCACUGAAGCACGGAAGGCCUCCGUGUUUCAGAACAUAGUAGCCUCACUUCAAUCUCUCUCUCUCUCUCUCUCUCUCUUUUCUCUCUCUCUCUCUCUCUCUCUCCUAAUAUUAUAUUAUUAAUAUAUAUAUAUAGAGUUGGACUGGCUUUCAUUUAGUAGCAAAUCCUAUUGUUGUACCAGUUUUUUAACAACCUUCUAUGGAUCAACUCUUUAUCUUAUUUAACCAUUGGAUUAAAUACUUAUAACCUAGUGGGGACCACUCAACCUUUUGCGGGGACACUCAACUCUAACCCGAUCUUUCAUACCCGUCUUACAAUUUUUAUACAAGGGUUAAAAACUUGAUAGCCAAAAGAGGGUUUACUAUUAAUAGUAUAACGGGUUCCAUUGCCACCUAUUUGUUUUCAAUGAUGGAGCCUCCAAAUCGACGAUUGGCACCGUUGAAUAUGAUCUAUACUACUUGAAGCAUUUAAAAAUCAAAUUUCAUAAAUUUUCGAUAUUAUUUUUUUGUCUAUCAUGUGGACACAAAAAUGAACGGCUGAGAAUGAAUAUUUUUUAAAAAGUGAUAAUAAGAAUCUUGCGGUACUAACUUAAUACACUUUAAAUCACAGGAUACUAAAGUGAGAAAGUGAAAAUCACAGGGACUAACUUAAUACACUUUAAAUCAUAAGGUAUUAAAGUAAAAAAUUACUAAAUCAGGUAUUUGAAGUAACACCUGAUGGGCUUAACUUUAUUGGUUGAAUUAGUUUGGGAUAAUUACCUAUAUAUUCAUAAAAAUUUAGAAAAUAUCUAAUUUGCUCUUUGUUUUUUUAUUUAAGGCAAAUAAAAUAAUUUAGUAACGAUAGAAGAAUAUAGUGAAAAGGGCAAAAUAGUAACUUUACAGAGAUAAUAUUGCUAAUAAUUCACUAACAAAAUUUAGUUCUAGAAAUAUAUUUAAGAUAAUUUAGAAUGUAAAAAAUUAUUUUUAAUAUUAACCUCCUAAAAAGAAUAAAUCAGAAAGUUGAAAAUUUUUUAGGGAUUUGUAAGCAAUUGCCCUAAUUGGUUUUGUUAGAUAAGUCGCAGGUCAAUAUUUGCUUUAUUAGGAAUAUCAAUUCUGCAAUACUCACAAGUAACAUUGCUGACAGUCUGGUGGCCCCUCGUGGUGUGUGCUGCUGGGAAGACGGGACAGCACCACGGCAAACCUGACCAGCUCCCAAAACCUUCCAAGCCCCUUUGACAGCCUGCAGACACUCCGGUCAAAGUUCUCCGCCGUUGGCCUCAAUGACACUGAUCUCGUCGCCUUAUCAGGUCAGUAGAAAUAUCUAAAAUGUAGCAGUCAUAUAGAUCAUGCGGCGUCUCCGGCCAAUCACAUUUAGCUCUUCUAAUUUAUCCAUCACAUCAUAAUUUUUUUACAUAAUUAUUUUUAUUGUACUUUUUUUUUAUAUGAAAAAUGUGAUUCGUUGAGACGCAGCUCACGCAGUUCAGCUAUUGUAUAGAAAACUUUCUCAAAAUUUACACUUAAUUACAGGAGCGCACACAUUCGGUCGAGCACAUUGUCGGUUCUUCAGCGGCCGUCUAUACAACUUCAGCGGAACGGGCCGACCCGAUCCGACAUUAAAUGGAGCCUACCGGGUCCAAUUACAGCAGAAUUGCCCGCAAAACGCGAACCCGAACGGAUUGAACAAUCUCGACCCGACCACGCCUAACAUUUUCGACUACUACUACUUCCUCAACGUUGAGAACAACCGCGGCCUCCUGCAAUCCGACCAAGAGCUGCUCUCGGCAGCGGGUGCGGCGUCGACUACCGCUCCGAUCGUAAACAGCUUCGCCAGCGACCAGAGCACCUUCUUUUGCAACUUUGCAGCGUCGAUGAUCAAUAUGGGGAACAUAAGCCCAUUAACUGGGGAUCAAGGGGAGAUUAGGGAGAAUUGCAGGGUGGUUAAUGAUAGCUGAAGAAAUAUUGGUGUAGAAAAUCUUUGUAUUUAAGGGGGCGUUUGGAUUGACGUAUUUAUAGAUUCAACGUAAGUCAAGUGUAGUGGUGUUUGAGUUUCCGUGAAGUGUUAUUAUUUUUUUGUUGUUUGUUUUGACGUAACUCGUACCGUCUGAAAGUUAAAUUCAAUCAGUUCUGUUGUUUGUUUUGAUGUAACUUGGUGCUGGUAAAAUUAGUUUUUUUAGUUCCGUUGUUUGUUUUUAUGUAAGUAAGUGGAUCUCAUUAUUUCCUAAAUAUAGUAAUAAAUUUACCACUAUAAAAUUUAAUCUAUUAUAUAAUUAAUUUUUUAUUAUUAUUUAAAGAUAAUUCUAAUUUAUUAUAAAUAAGGUAAUUCUAACCCAUUAUAAAGGAGGUAGAGUUUAGGUUUUACUGUUUAAUAAAUUUUUUAGAGGAGGUUGAGUGUAGUGAAAGUCGAGUUCGGCGCUUUAGAGGAGAAAGUCGAGAGUAGGUGAAGUGGAGCUCUAACGUAACUUGAGUUACAUCAUAUUUUUCACUUACAUCAAAAUAAAUAACGGAAGUGAUGGAACUUGAGUUCCAUCACUCCACUUACACCAAAACAAACGGGCCCUAAGUCGAACAAGUUGUAAGGUGCAUGACAAAUUGUUUGGAUGUGUUAAUGGAAAUAAUCAUUUCUUAGCGAGAACACAAUGGGUCAGUUUGGAUUCUAUUCUCAUCUUCUUAUGUUAAUCGAGAUAAACAAUAUUUGUGUGGGAAAUUAUGUACAGUAUCAGAUUGUCUGAAAAGCGUUUUGACGAAUUAUUUGUAAGUUUUCUGAGUGGAAUAAAAAAAAGAGCUUUAAAUCUUGUUUGCAAUUUCUCUGUACUAGAAUAAAUUUGCCAGCACAAUUUAGACCUGACAAAUAGCUGGAUCAUGGUCUUGUAGAUCAUACCAAGUUGUAUACAGUGCAUCCACAUUGAUCUUUUUGUUGGGAACUUAGCUUAAUAUUUUUCUUUUCAUUUAUUAAUAAAAUAAUCGAUCUCAAUAUUCAAAUUAAAAACGAAAAAAUUAUUAGUAGUUACUCUCCAAACUGUUUUUUGUUUGGGAGAGAAAAUUAAAAAAAUUUAGGAGUCUGGUCAGAGAUUACUGAAGAAGCUUAAAUAUUUAAUACAAUUAUAGUUUUGAAUCCUAAUCUAUAAUAUAAAAAAAAAGUUGAAAGACUUAUUCUAAAAAUCUCGUCAAAAUUCAUUAUACUUAUUUGAUUUCAAACCUCUAUUUUCGCAACCCUUCAUUUAAGUCGUAAGUAGAUGUGUGCUCAAAUUGUUAGCUAUGAUUUUACUUGUUAGUGUUAAGAUCGUGGUGAUUCUUUAUACACUUACUAUGGUGCAUACGAUUCACUUAUUAUGGUGUAUAUAUAUAUUGAGAAGAAAAACUUAAUACAACUUCUCUUUUGGACCUACUUAAUUACAUAGGAUGGGAUGGUGUAUUAGAACGACAAAUAAAUACUUAGAUAGCUACAUUUUUCAUCGAACUAGAACUUUAAAAUAUCAGGUUCAAACCAAAUAUAAUAGUAACUCAAUUUGGAGUAUCUAGUUAAUUAAUUGAUAUAGUGAGUGUGAUCUUUUAAUAAUAGGCACACUAAACGUAGGGUUGAGGGUUGAGGGUUGAGGGUUCGAGGAUCGGGUUUUAGGAUUUUAGGGUUUAGGGUUUAGGGGUUAGGGGUUAGGGGUUUAGGGGUUAGGGCUUAGGGCUUAGGGCUUAGGGNNNNNNNNNNNNNNNNNNNNNNNNNNNNNNNNNNNNNNNNNNNNNNNNNNNNNNNNNNNNNNNNNNNNNNNNNNNNNNNNNNNNNNNNNNNNNNNNNNNNUUAUAAAACUCCGCCCCGAAUCCGACCCGUUGAUAUCUCUACUCUCGAGGACCCAGGAAUUACUAAAUCUAAAUUUUAUUAAGUGAAAAAAAAUAUGGACAAUUGCUUAUAUACUGUUGAAUAGGGAUUUCAAUAGAUAUGCGAAAUUUUAUCCGAAUUCGAAUCUUAAUAGAGCGAAUUUAUUUGAUACUAGAGGAAUAUGAUUUCCAAUAUGGGUAUAAAAAAUAAAAACAAGACAGAUAUGGAGUUGGAUAUGGAUUUUGACUGUAUCAUAUCCGAAUCCGAACUCCACUCAAGCCCGCAUUUAUUUUACAUUAUAUAUAAUAUGUAUAUAAAAGUUGAAUUUAUAUUUUAAAAAUUUAGAUUUUAUGUAAUAUAUUUUGAAAUAUUAGAAAGAGAAAUGAUUGUUUCGGGUUCGAAUUUUCGGGUUUAAGUUCAGGUUCAAGUUUCGAAUUUUUAGUCGGGUUCGGAUUUGGAGGUCGGGUUCGGGUUUUGGGUUUGGAGUCGGGUUUGGGUUCGUAUUUUGAAAAUCCACCACGAAUCCGAUCCGUUGACAUCUUUACUUCUGAAAUAUUUUCGAUUUAUUUAUUUAUUCUUCUUAGAAAGUUAAUAUUAAAAAUACGUUUUUAACAUUUCCGGUUAUUUAAGUACAUUAUUUCUGCAAAAUUACUAUUUUGUCCCUUACUUGUUAUUAAGUUAGGGGUGAAAGAAGUAUUUUUAUUUUUUUAUUUUUCAAAUAUACUUUUCUAUCAUCGCUGAACUUUUUUUAUUUACUCUUAAGUUAGGGUAAAAGAGUAAACUUUUUUUAACUCCAGUGGAAAUUUAACCUGAAUUUACUCCGAGAUAACUUAACGGAUAUUAACAACGAGAUAUUUUUGAAUAAAAGAAAAUUAUAAAAGAGGCAUAUUUAAAAUAAAAAUAGAAAGAAUACAUUAGGUAUUUCAUAAGUUUUUAUUGGUAUAUUAGAUAUUAGAUAUUAUCGCAAAAAAAAUAGUUGACCAGGGCUUUUUCGAAAUUUAAAAAAAAGGAAAGCCACAUAUUUUAAAUUGUAGAAUUAUUUUUUACAGAAUAUACCUUAAAAAUAUUUAUAUUUAGUCAAACAAAUUUUUUAAAAAUUUAUUUAGCCAAAUAAUAUAUUUUGUCUAAUUAAUCCAGUGCCAAAAUAGAGAAGAAAACUAAAAAAUAAUGAAUAUGAUUUACGGUUUUUACAGGCUUAUUUGUCUUUCACUUAUCUUUUCACUGUAAUGCUGGGUUAGAUAAAAUAUGAUUAGUUUGCCAAUUAAAAAUUUUGAUAGAAUUAUUUAGUAAAUUAUAAAUUUUUUAAAGAUUAAUUUUAAAAAAGUCUGAUAGUAGAUUAUGCAACUAAUCUACUGAAGAACUAGUUUUCUCUUUCCUAUCCCAUCAAUUUUUUUUUAAAUAACAAAAACUCAAUUUGUGUUUUAUGAAGGUUUUUAACUUUUGAACUCGGUGUUGGCUUAAAUGGGCCAGCAUUCUGCCCUGUGGCAGGAGGCCAUGUGGACCGAAUCAUGUUUGAAAUGGCGUGAGGCUGGGUUGGGCCGAGUCAUGUUCCAAGUGGCGUGAGGCCAGAUGAGCCGAGUCACAAUCGAGACCCGUGGGCGCUGUUUCUGUACGCUUUAAGUGAAUUAAUUGCGUAUUUCUAACAGUUCGAACUUUUGGGAUUAAUGGUUAGCGCCAACGAUCCGACACUAGGCUGCAAGGAUUACAACUAUAUAUUUCUUAAAAAAAUACUAAAAAUGCACGGAGUCCUCAACUAUAUAUGAUUUAUGAAAUACGUCCUCAACUUUUCCAUUUAACCUAUAUUAGCAGUUGGAUUUUGAUCGAGAUGAUUCUUCCUUCUACGCAUAAUGAUCGGAAAGAAAAUUUUGGCUUCAUUUGGGAUGUAAUAUAACGUUUUGCAUAUCGCGAUGAGUCGGUUACAAUAUAUUUUUCUGCGGUCCCAUCAAAGAACGUAGCUUUUAGCCUUUAUCUGGAACAACUACUUUACUUAUUAAGGCUUAGGCUUUGUUUGGAAUUGCGGGUGUGGUGGAAAUCCGCAUAUUGCGAUGAGUCGGUUACGAUAUGUUUUCUGCGGUCUAUCGGAGAACAUAUAAGCAUAUCCCUAUAUGCUUUUUUUUCAACUCCAUUUUAUCUAAUAAUGUUAGAUAGACUUUAAUACUAAACUAAGCCUUAAUUUGGUAUUGGAAUAAAAGCAUAUAAGGAUAUGCUUCUACAUUCUCCGAUGGGACCACAGAAAAUAUAUCGUAAUCGACUUAUCGCGGAACGCAAUAUUACGUACAGAAAUAAAUAGAGUAUUUUUUUUACCAUACUUUUUCACCUUUUAAUAAAAAAAAUAUAUAAUCAAAGAAGAAAAGAUAAAGUACUUUGUGCGCAUUACUGUACUGCACGCAUGUACAAAAAUUUGGAGCUAUACAAUAAAUGAAAGAGGGGGAAAGGUCUAGGAAUUUCAUUUAAUAAGACAAGCUCGAACCAUUGUACAUGCAUGGGAAGAAUCCUGUCUCCAUUGAAUUUAUUCGGUAGACCAUGUUCACCACAUCAUCCGUGGACCACUCUCUCGCAUUGCUGUGCGUCAAAAAAAAUAGACGUAAAUAUUACAAUAUUCGCAUCUCAAGAUAUGUUUUUCAAGACAAAUUUUAAUUUAUAACGUUUCUAGCUUUUUUAAUACUAAAAAUUCAAAGAAGUUGUCAAAAAUUUCAGAUGGAUAUAAGUUUAGAUCUUAAAACUUGUUUGGAAGUGAAAAGUCGGAGUUUGAACUCAGGAGGAGCUCAAAGAACUCGUGUUGUUUCAGACUUUCAAGGGAAUUUGGUGUGAGUAGCAUGUCAAAGUUGAAGAGAAAAGUUGUUGCAAGAGAUCAGGAAUGACAAUUUGCAUUAGUCAUGAGUCGAAACCGUAUGAACGAUAUUUUUAAUAUUUUCUGUUCCACUUUUAGAUUUAGAACUUUUUAAUAGACCGAAAAUGUGGGUGUAAAUUGAGUGCAGAAAAUUAAAUAAGAAUAGCAGCCUGAUGAGAUCCGUAUUUAGAAUGUUAUGUUUUGAUAGUAUAUAAAAAUAGGGAUAAUUUUAUAUAGCUCCUAUAAACAUACUGAAAAUCAAAUAUAUCUAUAUAAAGUUGAGAUUUUCAGAUUUAUCCCUCAAAAACUCCUAACAAUUUUAAAUAAUUCUUCUGUUAAUGUCCGUUAGAAAAAUAUAGUUAACCAUAAGUAAAGUACUUAAUCUUGGUUAGUGAGUGGAAUAAAUUGAUAUUUUUAUCUCUCUGAUAUUAUAUAUCUCUUGAUAUUAUAUAUCUUCUUUUCUCAAUCAAAAUCCUAAUUCGAUCAAAAAUCUAUAAAUAGAAACUUUUCUUCUUCUUCCUUUCUCUUUUUCAUGCUAGUUUUAAAUCUGUAAUUCGGAUUUUUUUAUUCGCAUUUAUCUACAAUACAUGCUGUUCGCUCAUGUCGAGCGCCGAAAAUAAGUAUUAUAUAAGUAAAGGAGAAAGGGAGUAAGAGAAGAGGUAGAAAAGAGCCUGCGACAAUAGUGGAUUAGAUUAGUUUUUAUAGAGGAAAAAGAUGACCGUUGAAAAUUUUUUUGGAAGGACAUUUAAGUACAAUUCUAACAAGAGAAACUUUUGGAGGAACAUAUUUGUAAUCACAAAAAUUGACAUUUCACUUAUCUUCUGUUAAAAAAUAAAUACUAAGCUAACGGUGAUAAAUUAGAGGAGCAAAUAAGAAUAUCACCGGAUUUUGAAGGAAUAAAUUUAAAAUUUUGAACUUUAUAGGAAUAUAUCUGCUAUUCCACUGUAUGAAAAAAAUUUCAUGCAGCUCUGGCGGCAAUGCAGUGGUGGGGCAUGAUGGAAAUCACAAUAUAAAUGCGGAGCAAAAUAGUUUUUUUACAUCUAAACUAAUUGGAAUUAGAUAUUUAACCCAUAAUUUACCACUAUUUUCUAAUAGCACAUAUAUUUUUGGGAAUAAAUUUGGGAAGACAGACUUUUGCACUAGGGGUGUCAUCGAGCUGAACAUGAGCAAGCUGAGGUUGGCUCGUGUUCGACUUGUUUUAUAAAUGAGUCAAACACGCGCCGAAUACGAAUUGACUUAUGAAUAAAAAUUUAAAAAGAUUAAAAAAUAUAUAUAAAAAAUAAAUUUAUAAGAUCAUACCUGUUAUACUUUGAUCUAAUAGUUAACAUUUUAUUGUACCCGAGAUCCAAGUUCGAAUCCUAGUCGAUUCACAUUUCUAGCUAAGUUUAUUUCUAAAUGAAAUAAACAAAGCGGAUGACGUGCUAUCUAUCUCUCAAAAAAAAAAAAAAAUUAUUUUACACAUAAAUGAAUCAUUUUAUAAUUGUAUUGAGCUUUAUAUUUAGGCUGGCCUAAAAACAAAUAAUAAAAUUUUAUUUAUAUACAUAUAUAAUUAUUUAUUUAUAUAUUAAAUAUAAAAUAGAUAUAUACGAUGUUUAUCGAGCUGAACACGAACGAGCUGACCCAACUCGUGUUCGUUUGUGUAUUAACGAAUUGAAAAUUUUAGUUUGUGCUCCGCUUGUUUAUAAACGAGCGAUCAGAUUUUGAGCUCAUUUCGAGCUGAACACGAGCUGGCUCGCGAACAGCGAGCUGGAUUAGCACCCUAUUUUGCACGAAGUUGUAUGCAUUUAUUUAUUUAUUUUUUAAAAUUAAUCCUGCUCAACUUUUAAAUGUUUGAAACCAAGGAAGUUUAGCCCAAUCAAUUGAAAUAAAAAUACCUUAUAGUGAACAAAUCAAUUGAAAAAAUUAACGGCAUGUUUGGUUCACUUAUUUUAGACUAUGGAAUCGGAAUGUAAUUUAUUGAUUUCGAUAGUUGUCAUUUAUUUUAUAGGAAUCAGAUUUCGAUUCCCAUUCCACUCCGGAAUAGGAAUGGUCAAAUCCAUUUAUGAUCCAAUCCGACUUUGAAUUCCGGAUUGACUCAUUCCAAAGUACACUAUUCAAAAUCCUUUUUCACCAACAAUCUCCUCUCUCUUCAUCGCUUUUUUCUUUCUUAAUCAAAACCCUCUCUCAAAAAUUUUAAAUUUUCAUUCCAAUAAUGAACCAAAUAUUUUUGGCUGAUUCGUCAUUUUAUUUUCUAUUCCAAAACAAUUCAAUUCUAUUUUUCAUUUCUAUUCUAAUCAUGAACCAAACAUGCCCUAACUGCUAAUAGCUAAUCAAGCCUUAAAAUUCAAUUAAAAUAAAUUGACUUAAUUAAUUAGAAAAAGCAAAUAAAAUAAUUAGAACUUAAAAAGGCGUUAAUUAACCGUUCUGAUCGAAAGUUCGGAGAAACGGACGGAGAUGCACCAGAGGGUCUAGGGAUGACGUGGUGAACCGGGUCCACGCAGGUAAUCUCCCUUCUUCUUUUAUUUUGAUUGGUUGAGCGCUACUUCAUUAAUUAUAUAUUAAACAAACCAACUCCACGGUUCCCAACGCCCAACGCCCGAUUCGCCCCAGUGGCAUACGACCGUAAAUAUCGUCCCGAACAAGGGCAUAAUUGUAAAUCCAGUUCCCUCCAACUAUACUUCCGUACAAAAUCUAUUCCGGUCCCCGGGGAUAUCAAUAAUAUCAUACACGCCCUAUAAUUCCCGUUGAUAGAAAAUUUUUUUAUAGGUCCCUCACUUUCAAAGUUAUUUUCAAAAGGCACUUAGCUUUUUAUUGUACAAUUCAAGAAUUCAAAUCUUGAUUUUUUUUUUGGGAUAAAAUUUACUGCUUAAUAUUUUAUCUUUCUAUUUUUUGUUCUUUUAGUGCAGUUUUACUUUUUUGUUUAUCCUUCUAUUUUUAAAAAAUUUUCUAAAACAUAAGUGAUCGACCUCUGUAUAAUUUUUUUUCUAUAGUAUGCAAUAUUUACUGUCUUUUUUAGAGCAUCUAAUACUUUCGGUGUUGAGCUAAAUAUGCUACUAAAUUCUUUUAAAUUAAAAAAAUUUAUAUUGAAAUUAAAUCUAAAGCUGUCAGACUAUAGUCAUGAUCUAUAUGAAGAAUAGUAAGAAUUAUUGAAGUUAAGAUAAGGUUUAUUUUGUCAAAAAUAAUAAAAGUUUAAAUAGCAAAAAUCUCACUUAAAUAAAAUAUAGAUAUUUAGAACUUAGUAACAAAAAAAGGAUUAGAGACUAAAAUGAACAACAUAUAAAGAUUAGGGACUAGCGGUAAAGAAUUGUAGUAGUUCCGGACCAAAGCCGAAUGCAAUUAGCCUAAAAGUUAAAUGUGGAAAUAUACAUAAUUUACGUGAACUAUAGACUAUUUAAUUUUUAUGAUUUAAGUCGGUAAAUAAAAUUUUGACUUUUAAGUUUAAACUAGUUACUUACUUUAAUAAAGUUUUAAUGGUCAAAAUUGUAUAAAAUAUAUACUAAUUAAAUUUGUAAAAAUUUUAAAGUUAAAGUAUUAUUGACAGUCUCAAAUCAAAAAAAUUAAAAAAUUGAAUAAUAAAAUAAAAAUUUUAAAAAAUUGAAUAAUGAACUCAAAGCAGUAUAUAGUUUCGGUUGGUUUCUUUGCUCAACUCAAAAUAGUCCAUAGUUCAGAUAAAUUCGUGGUGAUUUUACCUACAGAGAGACGCUUUUGACAAUAUAUGAAAAGUGAGGGACCUCUGUGAAAAUUACCCUUCCCCAUCUCUUUCUCAACCUCUCACUCCCCCUCAGAUCCCCCCCCUCUCUCUCUCUCUCUCUCUCUCUCUCUCUCCCCUCAGCUCCCGCUCCCUCACGUGAUAUAAAUACUCCUAUUCGCCCCUCGCUCGUCCUAUUCUCGCUCUUAUUCCCAUCGUCGUCUUCGUCGAGCGCGCGGGAGAGAGAGAGAGAGAGAGAGAGAGAGAGAGGAGGGGGGGAGCGGCGAGGGUUUCGGCCAUGGGGAGUGCGAUCGACGUGAAGGCGACGUUCCGCNCCUCUCUCUCUCUCUCUCUCUCUCUCUCUCUCCCCUCAGCUCCCGCUCCCUCACGUGAUAUAAAUACUCCUAUUCGCCCCUCGCUCGUCCUAAGGUCGCUCUGAUUCCGAUCGACGUCUACAUAGGGAGAGAGAGAGAGAGAGAGAGAGAGAGAGAGAGAGAGAGGAGGGGGGGAGCGGCGAGGGUUUCGGCCAUGGGGAGUGCGAUCGACGUGAAGGCGACGUUCCGCGACAUCUACCACCGCCUCAAGGCGGAGCUCCUCGACGACCCCGCCUUCGACUUCACCGACGAGUCGCGCCAAUGGAUCGAUCGGGUACGUGCGCGCAUCCUCCCCCCGCAUUGCCUCGAUCUUCCAUCGAUUCGGCGUGAUCUAGGGUUUCGGGAUGGAUCACUCCUCCGAUUCCGAGAUCUCUGUGUCUUUUGGCCAAAUUUGAGGGGUUUUAUGUAGAUUCUGCGUUGCUAGAUGUUCGAUCUCCUUGCUGGGACAAGCAUUUGCGUUGGUUGUGCAAUUUUAGUGAUCUGGUAGUAGAUUGUGGUAUAAUGAAUUGGAUUCUCUUUAAUUUACUACCCCGACAAAAAGAAAAGAAAAGGAAAAAGAGAAGGACGGAUUAGAUCCGGUUUGGAGGGAGGAGUGGUGGUUAUUAAAGGGACAAUGCUUUGUCUUGUUGCUAUAAGUUUACAGUGCAUUUUUAACUUCAGCUAAGUUGGUAGGUUGACAAAUGCUGCUAUCACCAUUCAAAAGUUAGUCUUAGGUAGAAUUUAGGGUUUUUUUUUUUUUUUUUUUUUUAUUUGCUCAAUAGAAACUGUCAAAGAUUGGAACAAAGAAUGUUUCUUUAUUGCUGAAUUUAUAGUUUAAGAAAAGUUUCAGAAACCGAUUAAAUAGAAGCAGUGUAGUUUUUCGCCGAUUAAACAGAAGCUGUGUAGUUCGAACAACUGAAGAUUGUUUCAUAAAGAAUUGGGAACUUUUCAGCUGUCGCUUUUGUAUCUUCUUUUGUGUAUUGAUGGUGCAUUUGAUCAAAUGAUGGGCUGUGGAUCACAUAGUAGCGAGUAGGCUUCUCUGAGAAAAUUUGUGUUUCUAUGUUUUUGCUCUGUUCUUUAGGUAUAGGACUUCAAUAACAAACUGUUCUGUUGCCACAUUACUUGUAUUAAAGCAUAGCUAGAACUUUGACCAAUUGAGAAGUUUAAUGUGCUUGGCUGCAAAGUCUCUGGAACUUAAAUGUGCUUAUUCUCACUUAAAAGUACAAGACGGCCUACACUCAUCUUAUUGUAUUAGGACUCUGAAUUUCGUUUAUGCAUGUACUGGUCCUGCUGCUUGAAUCCCUACAUUUGAAACAUAAAACUGACACUAAUGAUCAAAAUUUGACUCAUAAUCUGUUUACUGGUUAUGGCUAAUAGCUCUGCUUCAUUGACACUGCAGUUGUUUAUUUGGAUAUAGUCUACCUACUGUCACUAAGCUGUCCAAUUAGUGUGUAUCAGAGGAGAAGGCAUGCUCCUCAUUUUUCUCGUGUUGUAGUUAACGUCAUCUGGUUCCAUAGCAGCAUGAAUGGCUUUUCAGAUUUUUUUUUUUCUUUAUUAAUAAUUACAGUUUGACCCUAUUUAAUGCUCUUAUAACUUCAUUUUGAUACAGAUGUUGGACUACAAUGUGCCUGGAGGUUAGAGAAUUCUCUAUUUCUGAGGAAAUGAUGAAAUGCAUAUGUUUAAGCAGUCCCUGACUUGACAGAUAUGACUACUGGUAGGGAAACUAAACCGUGGACUAUCAGUGAUUGAUAGCUACAAGUUGUUAAAAGCCGGUGUUGAGGUCACUGAAGAUGAAAUCUUUCUUGGGUGUGCCCUUGGUUGGUGCAUUGAAUGGGUAAAAAGCACUUUCUUUCUUAUGAAACUCUUCUUUAGAAAAUACGAUCUAUUUUAUAAAGUCAUCCUCAUGGUUCAAUUCUUAUCCCUUUACAACUGCAAUUUGCAGCUUCAAGCAUAUUUCCUUGUACUUGAUGAUAUUAUGGACAAUUCUCAUACAAGACGUGGUCAGCUUUGUUGGUUUAGAGUUCCCAAGGUUAGUUUAGUAAUUCCUCUCUUGUAUAUUAUACUAAAUAUGAAUUUUUCUUAUUGCUAAAUAUGUAGGACAUUAAAAUACUUCAAAUUUGAUUGAUCAUCACUGUCAUCAUGGUCGUGUUUUUGCAUAAUCUUCAAACUUUGAAUAUCAGCUAAACUUGGAAACAACAAAUCUUAUGGCGAUCUCAUAGCAGCAUUUUUCUAUUAUUUUCUCCCUGUGAUCUUCAGUCAAAUUGAUUUUUCUGUUUGUUGGGUCUGUGCUUUCAUUGAUAUCUUAGGGCAUGUUCGGUUUGUGAUUGGAACUGGAGAUAGGAGACAGAUUCGGAAUGUGCUUGAAAAGUAAUGGGGAUGAACAAUUCCCUUAGUUUAUUUGAUUAGCAAUUGGAACAGGGUAGGGAAUGAGUAAUUGCGAUUUAACAUGAGUCGAGAUUAAAGAUCACAGGAUUUAGCAAAUUCCACUUGACCUUGAGAUGAAAGUUGGAAUGUGAUUCUCUCUGGCAAGCGGUUGGCAUGGGAGAUGAUUGUCCCUGUCCCGUUCAAAGCGCAAAAUUUCUUGACCAAGAAUGCCACUAGAUUGUACUCACAAUCUAGGUCAAAUGUAAAGCAAUUUUGAAGACAUGUAGUUUGUUGAAAGUAAUGGGACUACUAGUUACUUAUUUGAUCUCAUCAUUUUAUCGCUAGUUAUCAGUAUGGGAAAACUCAAAAUUAGCUUGGCAUGUCCAGAUAUUGAACUUCAAAUUUGAUUGAAACUUUAGGCAAAUUAUUGUUAUUUUCCUUAAUAAUUUGAACAGCACUUACCUCAGUAAUAGAAAGGACAUUUGGGUAGUUGUUCAUUUCUGUGGCCUUUUGUUCCAUAAGUUUUCCUCCUUUCCCUUUUUCUUCGCACGGGGAUAGGUGGUCCUAUAUAUUUGCUGCAAUUUUUCAGCAACUUUUAGCAGAAUUUAUAUUAUGCCCUUGCAGAUUAAACUAGAAUCUGUAUAAGCAGAAAUAAGAUGAAUGAAAGGAUGGAUAAGCUUCUGGAAGAGAAUUCGAAGACAAUGUAUUCCUUAUAGUGCCCAGCUGAUCUGUUCUUGCUGAGCUUUAACCUUGCUGGUAUUUUGUGGCUAAAAUAUGCGAAAUAUGUCUGUCUUCUGGUAGUUGUUGAGGUUAUGCAUGGAAAAAUCAUUGCAGAUAGAACUUCACGCAGUGAUAAUAAGUUUUUAGCAUCAAAAUUCAAUUUUUGACAGCAUGUUUCUUGAUAGAUAAACUAAACUUCUAUUGCUGUGAUGUACUUAAGGCACUAGCUACAUUACCAAGAAAACUAAGAGCUUCUAAAUUUGAAAGAAAGUGAUCAUUGACUUUGUUUAUUUUGUUUCUUCCACUAUCAUCUCUCUUAACUAAUUCGCAUCAUUGACAUGUUUGUGAUAACAAAUUGCAGUUGCUAAGAAAUAAGGAGGAAGUGUGAGAAAACACACCUAGAGCCAAAUGUUAGCCGAGGCCCGCACUUUGCGGGACCUCUCGGUCAAAUACUGUGCUUUGUAACCUGUUAUUUUUCUCGGUCGCUGGCGGCUUUUUCUUCUAUUUUCUUGAAGCAUAUCCCCUAUUUGUGAGCGUUUUUCUCUUCUUUCACUUUUUCUUUCUUUUCUAGAGGCCUGGCUGCCUCACCAUGUAGCCUAAUUCACUAUCUAAUUGAAUGAAGCGGUAGCAUGCUACUAUUUCUCAGAAAAAAAGAAAUAAGGAGGAAGUGCAAAAUCCCAUGUGUUCUGGCACGAGCAAAAAGUGUAGCACUUUGUCCUCUGGUUGUGGCAAACUGCUAUGCUUUGAACAGCAGGGACAUAAAUGGAAUCAGGCUAAUGCUGCAGGGAAAUAUUUUGAUGUUCUCCUAGAAAUUAUACUUAUGUAGAAACUUGUGCAGACAGAACCUUAGCUCUCCAGCUAAAUAUUAGUAGUAGAUAUUCAUGUUCCAUCUCAAAAUAUGUGGAGAACACAUUGUAAAUACGAAUAGAGGAAGUACGCAGAUAUUGCAACAGUGUUAGGUCUAGUAUGGGCAUGAUAUACAUCUUACUGCCUUUGUUUGAUAGAUUGUAACCACAACUUGACACAGCACCAGUAAGGCACGUGUCAAACCUGACUGUGAGUAUACUGGUUCUCUGGUUUGGGAAUUGUGUGAUUAGUUCGUCGCUAACUUAAUUAGACGUGUCAUUUGACUACACAUAUUGCUGAACAAUUAUGCGCUAUUAACUAUAAUUCUAUCAUACUCUUGGAAGAAGUAACCAAUUCAUUUUAUAUUUUACCGUAGGUUGGUCUUAUUGCCGUAAAUGAUGGGAUUAUACUUCGCAACCACAUUCCUCGAAUCCUUAAACAGCAUUUCAAGGGAAAACCUUACUAUGUAGAUCUCCUUGAUCUGUUCAAUGAGGUACUUAUCUUUUCACUUGUGUUUGUAAUUGGUUUUUACUCCAGAAUUUUCUACUUUAUUGUAAUUUCAUAUAUUUUUUCUUCUAGGUUGAGUUCCAGACGGCAUCCGGACAGAUGCUAGAUCUGAUUACAACUCACGAAGGAGAAAAAGAUCUAUCAAAAUACACACUGCCGGUGUAUGUGAAAGGGCUAACAUUUGAUUGAACAUUUUAACAAUGAACUAGUAUAGUUGCUAAGACAUAGGCGAUGGAGUAAUCAUACGUCAUUAUUUGUUUUACAAGCGUCAUUUGUCUUUUUUCAUAACUUAGAGACAUUUCGAUUCUUUAACUUCUUUUGCUAGUGCUAUGUCCUGCUGCAAAGCUAUUGCUAAUCAUCAAGGUUACUGACAUGUUGUGCAGUUACCGCCGGAUUGUUCAAUACAAAACAGCUUACUAUUCGUUCUACCUUCCGGUAAGUUUGAGAUGAAUAAAUAGUUCAGUGUGCUGCUGUUGAUAUAACUGUUCGCAUAUAUUUAAUUUUGUUCCCAUCAUAGAGCUGCUAUUUGCAUAUAUUUAAUUUUGUUCCCAUCAUAGAGCUGCUAUUCUUUAUUCUGAUUUUUAAUUUUCUUGCCUUGCAAAAUAAAUUUUUUUUAAUAUUUAUCCAUUUUUGUUUAUGUUGUGGACCGUGCAGUAACUUUAAGCAGCCAGGCAAGUAAGUUUUAGCUGCUGUUAUGCCUAUUUGUUCGGAAAUGAGUGCGUCACAUAAUUUUCAUAGAUAUUUAUGUCCAUUUUUUAAGGGAUAAUCAUGAAAGAAUGCACGACAUGAUCUAGCCCUUCUCAGAGAUAUUUGAGUCACCGACUUAAGAUGAUAUACUGCUAUUACCUUUUAUCUUACAUAGUGAAAAUCAACUUCAUGAUGCUUAGAUGCUUGCUUGUGGAAAACUUGAUUGUAUUGUAACCUUACUUUGGAAAUUUAAUUUGUUUGUUACUUUCCCACCUCAUGCCCUGACCUCUCACUAGUACUACUACUAAUGUAUAAAAAGAAGAAAAUGAACUAAGAAACUUGUGAAACUUGAAUACUAAUGAUAAUAUUUCUACCGGAUCUAUCUCCAGUGUGAACUACGCAGUGAACUAUAUUAAUACAGCAAUUGUUGUAUUCGUUCCCUUCUACCGGUUGUAUCAAGAAGAAGGUUACUUGGGACAACUAAAUUACCUUAUGUUAUGUUGUGAAGGUUGCUUGUGCGCUGCUAAUGUCUGGAGAAAAUUUGGACAACUUUGUUGACGUCAAGAACAUUCUUGUUGAUAUGGGAACAUAUUUUCAAGUUCAGGUGACUCUUGCAUAUAUAAUAACAUCGGCAAAUUGUUUCACUUUUAACUGCCAUGUGCCUUGUUAUUUUCUGUCAUUGAUGGUUGUGUUUUCCUUUCAGGACGAUUUCCUAGAUUGUUUUGGUGAUCCUGAAUUUAUUGGUAAGGUUAGUCCAUGUACCUCUUUGUUGUAUAUAGAUGUCCCAGCAGAUGUGAGAAGAUAAGAUUCUCUUUUCUAAUUCUACUUGGGUGCUCCAUAUAUGAUCAAGGAUUGUUCAAGUUAUUGUACUUGAUUUUUUUUUUUUUUGUGUUAUAGAUUGGAACUGAUAUUGAAGACUACAAGUGCUCUUGGCUAGUCGUGCAAGCUCUCGAGCGUGCUGAUGAGAGCCAGAAGAAACUUUUGUCUGUAAGGCCUACCAUCUUGCUCCUUUCUUUCUCAAUGAUGCAAUGACAUGGAAAGGGUAAAGGUGUAACAUUCAUGCUAAUCUUCAGGAGAAUUAUGGAAAGGCAGAUUCAAAAUGCGUUGCAAAAGUGAAGGCUCUGUAUAAGGAUCUCAAUCUUGAGGUUUGAACUGAGGAUAUACCCCUCUUUAUUUAGUUUCUUGAUAAUAAUUGAAAAUUUCCUCUUAGUUUUUUUCAUAAUUUUUGUCAAGAUUAACAAAUACAAUCGAUAUUCGCUCUCCUACUUUAACCAUGGUUGAAUCUACAAAUGGCCAUAAUGUAUUAUCUUCGUUCCUCUACUGUUUUCACUUCCCUUUUCCAACAUUUAAGACACCUAAACCGUAGACGUUCCCCGACGUACUGGCUAGACCAUACUAAGUUGGACUCUGGAACUUGUAAUCUAAACCUUUAUGGCAUUCUUCAUCUCUCAAACAACCACAAAGCAUCUAUCUGAUAACCCACAUCUGAAAGUUACUUGUUUAGCACCUUUUCCCUACUUCAAAACAAUUUCGAUUGACCCUCAACUCUUGUUGGUCUUUCUUGGUGCAAUAAUGAACAUUUUAUAGAGUAUACCAGGUGAAAUCAACAACUAUUUAGGACUCCUAAUGUUGUAACAGAAUCCUCCCUCUCCCAUUUGUGGAUCUGUAGUACGUCUAUCAACUCUGUCUAGUCUUUCAUUGGAUAUGCCAGGUGGUCUAUCUUUUUAUGCUAUUUGAUAGUAGUAACAAACUCUUUUACGGAAUCAUUAUUUUUCUCACGAGAAUUGGACCAUGUAUUUAAAAACUGGUUUCAAAGCAAUGUUAUCUGGUUGUUCUCCUGCUCGAUUACGUAAAUCUGAAAUCUGAAUAACAUGUUCUUACAUCUUGUCAUUUAAAAUGUAAACUCACUCACAUCCUUUUCGCAAAUCUCAUGAAACAAGAAUAGUAUCUGAUUAUCUAAUCAUGAUAUACUUCUCUGCUUGUUUCUCUUUUUAACUUUUUUUUAAUCUCCAGGGUGUAUUUGCGGACUACGAGAGCAAGAGCUAUGAAAAGCUAAUCUCGUCGAUCGAAGCCCAGCCGAGCAAAGCCGUGCAGGACGUGCUGAAGUCCUUCUUGCAUAAGAUCUACAAGAGGCAGAAGUAGAAGCUCCAUCGAAAAUCGACAACCGGUCGGGAAGUGCUCGUCAUUGUUUCUCUUCAUCCAUCAAUCCUAUUUCGCCUGCUGCUAUUUAUGUCUGCAUGCAUGCACCCUAUUUCUUUCACGCAGUAUCGAACUACUCGAUGUUUCUUUGGGAUUUUUCUCUAAUUUAGUCCCCCUUAUGAUUAGAGUACACUUCUUAUGUUUCUCUAGGUUUGGGUUUCAGUUUAUAUGAUUUGAAUUCAAAAGUUGGAUCUAGCCUGAAUAAGAAUCAGAUGGGUUAUAAGAGCCGGAUUUGGAUCCAGCGUUGAUUCAAUGGGACUGAAUAUAUAAUUUUAGAAGCAUCUUUUUUUUUAGUAACUUACGCUUUUAGAGACGUAUAAUUAUUUCACGUUAACAUGGUAUCAAAGCAUGAGGUUUUAAGUUUUGGGUUGAACAAUCAGCUUCUCAUUGUUGUUAAGAAUUAGUUUUAUUUGUGUGUUUCCUUUGCUAAAUGUAACAAUCAAGUUUCUUUAUUACGAUUAUUUUUUUUUCGCCUGUGAAAAUCAAAUGCUUGUCCAUGUCGCUAUUUAAGGUUGCAUCAUUCUGCAUUUAGUUUGAUCCAUCUAACUAAUAAUAGAAAACAGAGGAGUGGCUUCUAUCUCUGAUUCAUCGCAAGCUAACCAUGAUGCAUCAUCCCAUCACAUGAAAAUCCUGUUUUAAUAAAAAAGGCUAGGUCGUAGAAAGUUUCUUUUGAUAUAUAUAUAUAUGGAAAGCUAGAAUUCUUCUCUAGGAGUAUCUGAAUGAAUGUUUGUCUCCGUCUGGUAUGCGACGAUGGAAUAUCUGAAUGAAUGACUGGUGUUUUAAAUUUUGAUCUAGAUUAGUUUGAACUUUUUAGAUUUUUAACUUUUAUAAUCUUUUGAUAUUGUUUAUCUAGAAUUCGGUCUUAAAAUUGACUAUUUAUAAUGGCUAACAUAGGGUGAAUUGGCCACCACUUUUUUAUUAGGUAAAUGAUGUCAACAAAAUUUCCGAAAUUUUGAGUUUUAGGAGGGUCGAACAGGCCAGAUUAAAAUAUGAGGACCAAAUUGUCGGUAUGUUAAAAGUUAAGGGCCAAAGGUGCAAUUUAUCCAGUAAACGACUCAUUCUUGUUUGUGUGAUUGUAUCUCUCUUCCUUUCAUUCGUUCAUCAGCAAAAGAUGGUGGUGAUCCAUCCAUGCACCGAAAAUUCUACAGGACCUUCUCCUCCUCUUCGUCUCCUCUCCUCUCCUCCUCCCUCCUCCUCCACCAAACCCUAAUCCAAAGCCCUCACCAUCUCCCCCCAUCACCAUCUCUCCCCUCUCUCUCCCCCCUCUCCCCAACCCGCCGCUCCACCGUCGACCUCAUCGUCUCCGCCCUCCGCCAUUGCCCCCACCUCCCCCUCUCCACCCGUCGCGAAUCCACCUCCUCCCUUCCUCGGCCCCCGCGAGGUCGCCCUCGUCCUCCUCCGCUCCCAAUCCCCUCCCCUCCCUCCUCUUCCUCCGCUGGCCCUCCCACCUCCCCCUCCCCCUCCCGCUCCACUUCUCCCCCCUCCUUCAGCCGCUCCUCCCGCCGCCGCACCGCCUUUACCUCCCUCCUCCGCUCCCAGCCGACGCCUUUGCCUCCCUCGCCGCCGCCGCCGCCGCCGCCGAGUGCAACUGGAGCCCCGCCGUCUUCGGCCUCCUCGUCAGGGUCCUCGCCCGAUCGGGCCGCGUCGCCGAUGCGCUCCGCGCGUGCUGCCGCGCGCUCCGGAUCGGCCUCCCCCCCGACGCCGCCGCCUUCAAUUGCCUCCUCUGCGCUCUCGUCAACGCGGGCCAGUUCGACCUCUCGUGGAAGCUCUAUCGCCGCAUGCGGAGCGCCGGGGUCGACCCGAAUUCGUACACUUUCAAUAUCUUGAUCCGUGCCCUGUGCCGGGGAGAGGGCGCGGAGAAGGCCGGGGAGUUCUUGGAGGAGUGGGAAUCCGAUGGGUUCGAUCCCGAUAUCGUGACCUACAAUACCUUGCUCGAUGGGUAUUGCAGGAGAGGGAGAUUGGGCGACGCGCUCUACCUGUUCGACGUAAUGUUCCGCAGAGGGGUCGAGCCCGACUUGGUUUCCUACACUGUUCUGGUGAAUGGGUUGUGUAGAGAUGGGCGCGUGGCGGAAGCACGCCGGCUGUUCAAUCGAAUGCUUCAGAGAGGCCUCAGCCCGGACGGCCUCGCCUACCGGGCUCUUAUAGCUGGGUAUUGCAAGAAAGGCAGGAUGAGGGAGGCGAGGGCUCUGCUUAAUGAGAUGAUUUCGAGCAGGUUGGUGCCCGAUAGCAUUACCUGCGGGGUGGUCGUCGAAGGACAUGUGAAGUGUGGGAAGUUGCUUUCUUGCUUGAAUCUGGUCGUGCAACUUCGGAAAUAUGGGAUUGUCAUUUCUUUGGAUAGCUACGAGAAACUAGUCAGUGCACUGUGUGCGGAGGACCGGCCGAAUGCGGCGAGGAACCUACUGAAUUGGAUGCUGCAAGAUGGGUAUAGUCCGAAUUUGAAGAUAUAUAAUUUGAUCGUCGAUUGCUUUUGUAAAUGUGAUUGUGUGCAAGAGGUACUUGAAUUGAAGGAUGAGAUGGUUGGGAGAGAUAUCCGGCCUAAUUUGGAGACUUAUCGGAUACUUAUUAGUUGUCUCUGUAGGCUAGGCAAGAGUUCUGAGGGCGAGAUCUUAAUGGCAGAGAUGAUCGAUUCAGGUCUCAUGCCUGACUCUCUUAUUUGUAGUGCCCUGGUUCAUUGCUGUUGUCGGCGAAGAGAAUUUGGUAAGGCAGAAUCACUCCUGACGUAUUUUUCUCAGGAACUUGUGAUUUAUGACAAUGAGAGUUACAAUGCUCUAAUGAGGGCAUACUGUGAGGAGAAUGACAUGGCUGAGUCUCUAGAGCUGCAGGAUAGGUUACUUACGUUGGGUUUUGUUCCGAGUAGCGAGACAUGCAAGUCUAUGAUCUAUACGCUCUCCAGAAAUGAAAUUCAUGGCUAGCAGGAAAAGUAAACUGUGUUGACAUUAACCAUCUUCUUCAAGGGGUGACACGACUGAUAUUCCUGUAAAGGAGAUCUGGUAUUAAAGUGUCAGGUCAGCAUUCUGUUUGAUCUGCCAGAGCGGGUCGUUCAGAGGCUAUUUUCAGGUUAUGGAGGAUACGGAAGCUUUCUUUGUCAUAUAUUAUUAGAAACAGGGGAUAUGAUUUUUUUUUUUAAAUACUUAUUUACUUAGCUGCGAGGUAACUAAGCAUUUUAGACCAUGAUCAAUUGUCCAUUAUAGUCAUUUUCCUGAAGUUGGAUCUUUGCUCAGAGCCUUAUUAUGAUCAUACAUUGUUGUGCAUCACAUAAGCUGUAUAUCAUAUGUCGAAUGGGUCUUCAAUGACUCAUCUCAAGUUAAAUUUUGGCCUUUUUUCUCCAUAUGGAAUUUACAAAUUCUGUAGUUUGGCUGAAUAUGUUGUCGGAAAUAGGAUAGGCUGUUGGGGCGGCAGACGAGGGGGUGCCAUGUCAAAUAUUUAUUGGAUUUCUAAGUGUUUUGGCAGUAAAUAUGGUGGGUAGCUCUGAUGACGGAGAUGGUCAAAUCUGUCCUCAAUCCUCUCUAUGUUGUAUAUUCUGCCUUAGUCAGCGAGCUGGAGCUUCAGUUAAGUGAAAAGCUUCAGUGUUUCAGAAAUUUGUGAUUGCAUGUGAAAGUCGCAAUGAUCAUAAUCGGUCAUACUGCAAGAAUUGUGAGGUGGCUGAGAUUCUACAUAGUUUCAUGAUAUUGAUCCAAACAUGGAGUCUUGCAGGCCGCUGAUCUAUGGACUGUUUAGAAGUAAAAUAUGUUUUUAAUAGAUGAAUUUGGAAGCUCAGUUCUUAGGAGAGGAUAAAAAUUUGAUACUCCUAACAAUUAUUUGGAUCUUACAAAUGCCUGAAGAUGAUUCUACUUCAUUUAGAAGGAUAGAUGGUGCAGAGGACAUCACUCUGAUUUUAUGAUGGUGGAACUGCUUCAAGUAUUUUGCAAAAUGGAACUUUAUUAUGCUUCUCACAUCCCUGCGCUUCCAAUAGUUGUGUAUAAGUUGCCGAAGCCGUAUCUAAUUUCUUGCCCAAGGUUAGCAUUCAGCUCCUGUUUGUACAGAAGAAUAUAUGCAGGCCUUGUUCUCAUUCGUUCUUUUCUGAUAGAAGUAUGUAAGAUUUUGUUGAAAAUAAAUUAUAAAAACACCGUUCCCUAGUAGCCCAAGCUUUUGGAGAACAAUGAUUGUUUCACAUUUUUUUAUAUGAUACUGAACUAGAAGGUCCAGAGUUCGAAUUCCGGCAGGCUUGUAGUCUCAUUUAAUUUUCUCUCAUUUAAUUCAAGCCCAUGUCUUAGGCCUAUUAAAAAGCGUCAAGCCCAGACGUAAGGGCGAAUGUUGAUGAUAAAAUAAAAAAAUUAUGUUCUUUGGUAGAUUAAGCUUUUGGAGAACAAUGAUUAUUUUAUAUUAUUUAACUGAUCUUAUUGCUGAAAUGAUAGUAAACUGGUCAUCAUUUUCUGUAGAAUGUGUCCCUAAGUAAGUUCUCAACUAAAUGACUAGUGUAUGGAACCUAUUAUUGCCGGUCCCUAAUUUUCAUUACUGCUCAGAUAAAAUAUCGUAAAGAUUCAUCAAGAACAUUAAAUCAUCCACAUAUUAUGCUAAUUAAUUCUGCAAGUGCCUUUGACAAUUUUAUAUUAGGUAGUGGUUACUGUGUUAUGAAAAUUAUAGACUAUCCAUUAAAAAGGAAUGGUAGGAUAGGCUUUGCGAAAUUGGAUCGAUGCACUUGAAAUUGUACAAAGAAAAUUAUAAAAUGUUAAAUAUGGUUUGAUUGCUCAUGAUCCAGUAGUGCCCAGUCGUUGGCUGUUACAGCUGCAUGCUUGGUCAAAGUCAAUUUUAAGUCUAUCUUAACAUUGUGUUUUGUUGACUCUACUUAAGCUUUUAUUAGUCUAAUGUAAGCCUUUCGCUCAAUUUUUGUGUGAGAUAGGAGUUCCAGUCACAUAUCUUUUAAAGAGUUUCCAACAAAUCUUCUGGCAUAUUAUUGGUCGACCAUGAGAAGUAGAUGGUUGUACAAUGUACACCAUUACCUUGCCAAGGAACUUAAUAACUAGUAAUGUUCUCAUUUUGUUUACAUAUACACAUUUUGUUUUUCUUUUAUUUUUUCACUUUUCAUAGUAUUUUUAGUAUGCUAAUCUUAUAUAUCUGAUAUAUGAAGCAGGUAGCAUGCUACCUUUCUCUCGAAAAAAAAUCUUAUAUAUCUGAUAAAAUCGAGUAGUAUUAUGUAUUCUCACAUAUCUUUAGCUUGUAGAAUUGCUACGUAGUGUUAUGCGGCAAGUGGGUUUUGCAGACUCUUUUCUGCUGGACAAUGAGAUUACAUUAGAGCGACGACCAUAGUUGAUUGUAUUUCUUUCCUUUUGUAAAAGACAAGCACACUGAAGUCAGACUGGGAAAUAACUAAAGAAGAACAUAGGCAGUGAAAUUUCUCAAACUGAUCCGUGACUUUAUUGGCUUCAUGAUGAACAUAUUGGACAAUAAAAGACUAAACAAGGAAAGAAAAAGAUAAACUAAUGUUCAUGCGUUUGUAAUCUGCAGAAUUUGCCUCGUGUGCUCUUUGUGCUAGUGAUAAGAUAACUGGAAUCUAUUUCCAUCUGUAUGGCUGCAUCCUACUAUAAGUGUUGGUGCUUCACAGCCACUGAAGUUGUUCUGCGAAGUAAUUGUCUCAUUUUCUAAGGCAACGGAACGCAUCAAAACCCCAGGCAACCGUAAUUGCCAAAAAGUAACCUCUCGGCACUGUUUUGUAAGGCAAAGCCCGUGCGGCGCUGGAGCCAUUUGCCGGCCUGUGAGACUCUUCAGUCAGAAUCAAGUGAAAUCUAUGAUGUCGAGGCAGGAGUCCUAGUUGCUGUACUGCAAUUUGCGAUAUCUUGGAGCUAAGGUAUGUAGGAGCAAUGCACCUUCAUGAAUUUCUUAAGAAGUUCUGCUUUCUACACUAGAAGCAUAGUAAUAUUUCCUUUUUUUUAAAAUAAGUUGGUAUUGGAUAUUUUCCCCUCUAUGUCAUUGAUGAAUGGCUUUAGAUCCAGGUAAAUGUGGUAUUCUUUUUGUCGCGACAUGAAAACCAUGAUAUCAGCAAACAUCUUAUUACUUCUUAGUGAAGCAUGAUGUGCUUGCACUUGUCCAUGAUGAUAUCAGCAAGCAUGAAAAAUUACUAUGGUUUCAGACUACAGAGAAACCCGCUUCAUUGGGAAAAUGCUUCAAAGGUUUAUUAAGCCUUCUCUAUUUAUAUUCUACGAACGAUGAAGUGUGUAGUUGUAGUUUCUCAAGCUGAUUUGAGUUAUAUUACUUGAUCCUUAUUUUUGUCCUAAUUGUAUUUUCUAGACGCGAAACCUUAUUUGUCUUGCGGAUUCGAUAGUCUACAUGUUGCUUUCUAAUGGUUGUACCAGUUUAGAUAUACAGUAUUAAUACAAAUUCAUGAAAUUCAUGAAUUUAACUGAUUGUUCAUAAUUGAUGAUCUUUUUUAAACUUUUUUUUUUUCCUUUCCUCCUUUGAAACUGAUAAGAGAUAAGAUAAUUAUCUCAAAUAGUUUACUUUUGUUCGUUAUAAUAGUACAACCAUCAAAUAGUAAAUCCUAAGCAUCCAAGGAAUAAAAAGUAGAUAGCAAAUACUAUUAUGCUACUAUUAGUAGUAUUUUAGGUUCUCUCUCUCUCUCUCUCUCUCUCUCUCUCUCUCUCUCUCUAUAUAUAUAUAUAUAUAUAUAUAUACAUACUCUUUUCCGUUAUUUUCUCUCUCAUAAUAUGCAUUGCUCUGUAGUAUUCAGGUCUUUUGUUGCAUAAUCAGAGAUUGCUGCCUUUCUUUAGUUGCAGGAUAGCUGACCACCAGCAUCUGUAUCUUGUUUUCUUGCACUCCUCACCAAGCUGCAACUGGCCUGUUUUGCUUUGCCACAGUUCAAUUGCCUAGUCUUGGAAACUCUUGGAGGUACAGUUAUUAUCACUUGGUACAGAGAUAGUCACUCAUACAAGAUAAACUGAAUAGUAGGGUAAGGCACUAUUCGGUUCAAACCAAAUUAUUGAACCGAACCGUCUCGUUUCGGUCGUUAAUGUGUGAUUCGGUUCAGUUCGGUUUUACAAAUUGAAAACCGGAAAAACCCACUAAUCUGAAUUAACCUAAAUUAUAAAAUUACUGUAUAAGAGUCUUAAAACUAAAAAAGAAAAUAUGUAUUGGUUCGUUCGGUUUUGCGUAUGGAUCCUAUUGUAGCAAGUCCCUAGCUAUGGAGAAGUUUUUAAAAAAGUAGAUGGUAAUCAUUGUUAUAUUUAGACUAAAGAUUCUGAACAUAAAAUUAAUUAUGAUUAUAUGUUAGUUUUUAGUAGUUUUAAAAGAUUUAAACUGGACAAAAAUAUUUUACUGAAACCAAAUAAACCGAACCAAACUGACCUAUACUCACAUCUAUGAAUACCGUAAUGGUCUGGGACGAGUACAAAGUUUUGCCAUGCCGAGUAAAACCGCUACGGAAGAGAAGUACAUAAAUCGGCGCGGUUAAUUGAAUCACAAUCAUCCCUGCUUGGAGUGGAUAUAUAUUUAUAUAGUUUUUGAAACUAUGUUUUUACAAAUGUUGUCCUUGGAUUCCAAAUAAACUGCAGGAAUAAAGAAUUGCUGAAACAAUGCGAGGAAACAAAUGUAAUUGAGAGUGCUUAACUCACCCUUCCUCAACAAGUUUCAAUCGAAGGCUAAAUGUGAACCAUUUAUAGAGUGAUAAACAAUUUAGAUUGAACCGUCAAUCUAUGUUAUUGAUUAGUCGGUUUUAUAUAUUUCUUUUCUUUUUUAAUUUUGUUUGAAUAGAAAACUCUGCCUUGGCUAGUAUUUAUCAAAUAUCGUAUGAUUGAUUUAAGUGGGUAGAAGCACUGCAAUUGCUUGAUCAUCACCUGAACUUCGGUUAACUUAGAUUUAUUCGUUUCAUUUGGUUCUCGAUUUGUUAAGAAUUGAAUCGAGCCUCUAACAAAACAGUGUCUAAUCAAUCGAAAUGAGUCGGUUCAGUUCGGUAAUUCGAGUUGGAUCUGAUGGUUCUUAACUCAUUCAGUAACCAUUAACCAGAGUUGCUCUUUCUUUUACCCACCUUUUGAAAGAGAGAACAGUGAAUGGUAACAACAUUAGUGAGUUUACUCCUGGUCCUUUUUUGCACUUGUCCCCCGCAAAACAAAUUUAUCUUGCAAAUGAUCCUAUCAAAUUCGUAAAUAUAGAAAUGGCUCUGUAUUGUACAUGUAGGCGCCACGUGAAAUAUUUCAAGUGAUACGGUGAUUCAUUCGCCGUGUUUAGUUAAAUAAUAUAGUAUAUUGUUAAAAGUAAAUUUUUAACUCUUCAUACAUUAUUCCAAACAAGGCGAAUGAACUGCCGUUUUUUAAAUCUAUUGAAUGAAUCGCCACUGUGUUUACUUAAAAUAUAUUUUUCUUAUCCCACGUGGCGUCUACGUGUACAAAUGAAGGAUCAUUUCUGCUGCAUUUAUAAUUUUGAUAGAAUUUUUAUAAAAUAAAAUUAAAUGCAAAAAAGAGUUCUUUUAUAUGGGGGCUACAUAAAUAAAUUACCAUAAAUUAUGGUGCUAUGGUGUAUGAACAGAGCUUGCCCCUCUUUUUGUUUGGGUUGUCAUCAAAUGGAGACACAAAACAAAGUUAAAGAUAGAGAGACCAGACAAAAAGGAAACAAGCCACUGAGGUAUUAAAGAAGCUUCUUUUGCAUACUUUUUCAUGUCCCUAGUGAAUUUUUUUGCUUUUGUAGGCCUGCCUAAUUGGGCAUGUAAAACAAAAAUUGAUCAUCAGCUUAGAUAAACAGUCAUUAUUGCCUUUUUUUUUAUAUAUAUAUAUUUUUCCCUCUUCUUUAUAAGCAACUCGGAUCUUUGGGUCCUGUACUGUAACGAGGGUGUAAAAUACAUUUCUAGAUCGUUUCCUAUCAGAUCAGUUUUUUAGUUAACAUGAUAUCAUAGCCAAGUAUGUAAUCAUCAUCUUAAAAUAGUUAUUCGUUUGAUCCGGUGCAGAUCUCAAGAGAACUUGUAUUGAUAUACGAUACAUGGACCGCGGAUUCCAAAUAGAUGAAUCCAAGAGAUCUGUACAGAAACAGCAAUGUUAAGAUGUUCAUGCGAUUACAAAUAAAACCACUUAUUCUGAUGUGAAAAUACUGAGUAAUAUUUGAUCAAAAAUGUGCCUUGUGUAUCCUAGGGUGAUCAUAGCUUUCACAGUGCUGAAUUGCACCGUUGGUCGUCAAACUAUGAGUCGUCUGAUACUUUAGUUCUUGAAUUCUAGAUUGUUGCAAUUAAGUCCCGAUGUGCAAUUUAGUUAACUAAAUAGUAAUAUUUCGUUGAAUGUUGACAGUGAUAUAGCAGUAUUAUGGUUGAUGGCGUGGAAAUAUUACUUUGACAUCGGCGAUACAUCAUCAUUCAGCCGACAAAAUUGCAUUGUAAAACUUGAUCGUAAUUAUAUAAAAAAUUCGAGCUAGAAAUUACAGUAAACUAAAAGUUUUCGAAGACGAAAGCGCCAGGCAUCUUAUAGUUUGAGAACCAAAAGUGCAAAUUAGCCUAACUUUUGGGCAUGCAAGCAACUUUCUUCACCAGUAAAAGUGCAUCUACACAAUACAAUACAGUGAGGGUGGGGUUUUUUUUUUUUUUUAAAACCUUUAUUCUUCUUCUCUCCUUACUCUUUCCCUCCACUAAUUUGGACGGUGGGAUUGGGCCCAAAUUUUUUUAAUCUAAUCUAAUUUUUAUUUUUCUCAUUUUAAAAAUUUAAAAUAUUAUAAUAUUUUAUACAUAAUCUUUAAAUAAUUUAGAUUGCAUAUAUUAAUAUAAAAUUUUAUAAUAUUGAUCAAUUAGAUAUAAAUUAUAUAAUAAAGUUUGAAAGAGAGAGAUUGAUAGAAUUUAAGAUAAUUACUUAUUUUAAUAAAUUUAUUUGUGAGAAUUGUAUAAAGUAUACCAACUAAAUCUGUAAAAUUAAACAACGCAUUUAAAAUUUGAAGUCAAAGUAAUAUUGACUAACUCAAAUUCAGUAUAUUAAAGGGCUGGAUAAUAAAACCAAAAUUUUAAAAUGUUGGAUAAUUGAAUUAAAAUGGUUCAUAUUUUAGAAAGGUUUUAUAUUUUUUACUUUGAUUUUAAUUCAAACUUUAAUGCAAUAUUUAUAGUUUGAUGAGCCAUCAACUUUACAUUUAAAAUUUUCUAUAAUAUCUAAAAUAUGAUUGGUCGACUUUUAAUUUUAAUAAUUAGGCAUUCUAAAACUUAUUAGAUAAUUUAACAGGUUUUUUUCACCGAAUGAAAUUACUAAUUGAAUAAAAAAUCGAUCAAUGCUCAGCUCUGUCUUCGUCUGGAAUAAAAAUAAACAAAAAAAAGAUUAUGCUCUUGAUCCUCAAACAAUAAGGCGCAUGACACUUUAGUUCUCGAACUUUAAUGCGUUACAAUUUCUGGUACAAACUAUGAGGCACGUAACACUUUAGUUUUCAAACUUUAAUUAGCCGCAAUUUCCAACUAGCAUCAUGAGGUACAUGAUAUUUUGGUCCUCAAUUUUUACUGCUGCUAUAGAUAUAAUUUAUUAUUCUUAUAAUUUUUAUUCUUAUUUUUUUUUUAUCCUUCAUAUAUUUUAUUUUUUUAUUUUUACUCUAGCAGCUGCUACUUCUUUUUUA